GGUUUUGACCAAACCACCCUGAAUAUGCCUGAGCUCAUCUGAUCUCAGAAGCUGAGAAAGAUCACUUUUGAUUAGCACUUUGAUGGGAGAAGUAAUUUAACUGUGAGAGUUU
rnacentral:rRNA from 1 species